rnacentral:tRNA from 1 species
AGGGGUAUAGCUCAAAUGGAAGAGCAGCGGUCUCCAAAACCGUGUGUUGGGUGUUCAAGUCACUCUACCCCUGCCA